rnacentral:rRNA from 1 species
GACGAACGCUGGCGGCGUGCCUAAUACAUGCAAGUCGAGCGGGCCUCCGGAGGUGCUUGCACCUCCGGAAGGCCAGCGGCGGACGGGUGAGUAACACGUGGGCAACCUGCCUUUGAGGCCGGGAUAACACCGGGAAACCGGUGCUAAUACCGGAUGCGUCCCCUUUCGCGCCUGCGAGAGGGGAGAAAGACGGUCUUUAAGGCCGUCGCUCAAAGAGGGGCCCGCGGCGCAUUAGCUGGUUGGGGGGGUAAGGGCCUACCAAGGCGACGAUGCGUUGCAGACCUGAGAGGGUGAUCGGCCACACUGGGACUGAGACACGGCCCAGACUCCUGCGGGAGGCAGCAGUAGGGAAUCAUCCGCAAUGGGCGAAAGCCUGACGGUGCAACGCCGCGUGAGUGAGGAAGGUUUUCGGAUCGUAAAGCUCUGUUGUGAGGGAAGAACAGCUUCCGGAGGAAAUGCCGGAGGUUUGCCGGUACCUCACCAGAAAGCCCCGGCUAACUACGUGCCAGCCGCCGCGGUAA